AAAUUCUCCAUCAGCAAUAACAUUAUCAACUUGGGGGGAACCAAAGAAUGCGAUGAAAUGAGAGAUGUUUUAAACAAAGUUUAAAAUCAGAUACCUUAUAAAAGCAANNAACUGGACUUUGAUUUUCAAAGUACACAGUAAAGACCACGCUUCAAUGCAAAUAGUAUUCUGCUAAUGCCAUCCGCACUCUGGCUUGAAUUUGCAGCACUAAUGAUUUUUC
rnacentral:misc_RNA from 1 species